CUGGGAGAGGCAGAAGCCUCCAGUGGGCCUCGGUGGCUGUGCUGUGGGGGGCUUCCCACUGCCCUCCGGAUGGCAUUGAGACUCCAUAACAUGACCCAGGAGACCCUCUGGAAGCUGAUGGCUGCCUGCUGCCCCAUGCUACAGCACUACGGACCAUCCUUCUUUGUCUUGGUCAGACCGUGUUCUCUCAUGCCCCAGGGUCUUUGUAUAUGCCACUCCUUCCACCUGACUUACUCUUUCUCCUCACCAUCUCUGGCCAGCUCCUACCCAUGCUUUAGGUCUUUGCUUAAACUGUGCUUUCUCUGGGCAUUGUGUCCUAACCCGAGUGUUCAUGGCUCCUGCACAGCCUGCCAGAACCAUAGCACCCGUCUAACUGCUCACUCAAAAUCAGUUUUCAUCACUAGAGCAUAAGCUCCCUGAAGGAUGAGGCUGGGUCUAUCUGAUAGGCCUGUGGUGCUAAGUAAGUUUUGUUGAGUGAAUACUAGCUGGGGUGGGGGCCAGGGAUCUCCCACAUGAGCUCUAAGGGUCUGUGGAUCCCUGACUCAUGAUGGCCCGCAGUAGUCAAGCGCCAUCUAACUAAGGCAGCUUGCUGCCCAGCAGGUCAGAGUCUGAGCAUCUUCCCCGCCGCUAACCUGUGUCAGGCGGUAACGCUUCCUCCCAUAGUGACCCUGGGAAAAAGCAAGAGCGGAGUCUAUCAGCAGUUUCCAGCCAUUUUCCAGCAUUGAGCUCGGGUCUUCACCCUCGCUCUGAGGUUGGCCAUCUGCAUGUUGGCAGGGUAACUCUGUUAAUCAGAACCGAUAGUUAUCCAGAAGCUGGGUGAAAUAGACCAGCGUGUGAGCUUGUGACCCCUGAAUCCCAGAACAUUCUGCUCGAAGGUCCUCAGGGGCGUCUGAGGUCUCUCCCCCAGUGAAGAGAAAACCGUGGCAGGGGCGGGAGGCUGGGGGCCUGAGCACCCUGAGGCUUGUUUUCAUUCUGUUUUCCUACCACCCUUUCGAUCCCCUCAGCUGCCCCUCAGGCUCUGUGUGCUGGGGAGGAGGCCACAUCUGGUUUCUCUGUGUGGCCCCAGGUCCACAGGGUCCUGAGACAGGUCUGGCAUAGACGGGGUGUGCACCUUGCCCAAAGUCAGCACCAGGGGGUGUGGGACAAAGGACUCCUGACUCCCACCUGCUAGAACCUUCUAUUUGAACCUGGAUUUUGAGGCCAGGACAUGGGGCCUCGCAGGUGGGGGUCCCACCGGGUGUGAGGGGUUUCAUGAAGGAAUCCCCUAAAGGUAGCCGGCACUGGGCCCAGCCUUGGGGCAGUGGGAGGGCCUGGCCUGGGUCCUCAGCUUCUG